rnacentral:rRNA from 1 species
AGAGUUUGAUCCUGGCUCAGGUUGAACGCUGGCGGCAUGCUUUACACAUGCAAGUCGAACGGCAGCACGGGGCGAACCCUCGGUGGCGAGUGGCGAACGGGUGAGUAAUGCAUCGGAACGUAUCCUUGAGUGGGGAGUAACGCAGCGAAAGUUAGUGCUAAUACCGCAUAAGCUCUGAGGAGGAAAGCGGGGACCGGAAAGGCCUCGCGCUGAAGGAGCGGCCGAUGUCCGAUUAGCUAGUUGGUGAGGUAAAGGACUUACCAAGGCGACGAUCGGUAGCUGGUCUGAGAGGAUGAUCAGCCACACUGGGACUGAGACACGGCCCAGACUCCUACGGGAGGCGAC